CCCUGGGCGUACGAGGCCUCCACUGCGGCUGCGCAGUCGGCCGUGGGGCGUGCGGCUUCUACUGCGGCUGCGCAAACUUAGCGAGCGGUUGCCGGUCUCCUCCCAAAGGCUCCUCCCUACAGUCAAUUUCCCUCGGGGCAUAAGUGCAGCCUACGCUUUCUG
rfam:Pteropus alecto contig4790, whole genome shotgun sequence.